rnacentral:rRNA from 1 species
UACGGAGGAUGCGAGCGUUAUCCGGAUUUAUUGGGUUUAAAGGGUGCGUAGGCGGUAUUUUAAGUUAGUGGUAAAACGUCGGGGCUUCACCUUGAUUGGCCAUUAAAACUGGAGUACUAGAGUACAGACGAGGUAGGCGGAAUAAGUUAAGUAGCGGUGAAAUGCUUAGAGAUCAUACAGAACACCGAUUGCGAAGGCAGCUUACCAAGCUACUUCUGACGUUGAGGCACGAAAGCGUGGGGAGCAAACAGG